rnacentral:rRNA from 1 species
AGGGCACCACCAGGAGUGGAGCCUGCGGCUUAAUUUGACUCAACACGGGAAAACUCACCCGGCCCGGACACUGGGAGGAUUGACAGAUUGAGAGCUCUUUCUUGAUUCAGUGGGUGGUGGUGCAUGGCCGUUCUUAGUUGGUGGAGUGAUUUGUCUGGUUAAUUCCGAUAACGAACGAGACUCUAGCCUACUAAAUAGAUCGUCGGCUUACAAACGCCGGCGAGACUUCUUAGAGGGACAGGCGGUGAUUCAACCGCACGAAACAGAGCAAUAACAGGUCUGUGAUGCCCUUAGAUGUCCGGGGCCGCACGCGCGCUACACUGAAGUGAUCAGCGUGCUUUUUCAACCUACUCUGUCAAGAGUGGGGAACCCAAUGAACCUUCUUCGUGAUUGGGAUAGGGGAUUGUAAUUAUUCCCCUUGAACGAGGAAUUCCCAGUAAGCGCGAGUCAUAAGCUCGCGUUGAUUACGUCCCUGCCCUUUGCACACACCGCCCGUCGCUACUACCGAUUGAAUGUUUU